AAGCGAAACCGCCCUGGUCAUCCGGGGUGGUCUGCCAGGCGUGGUUGCCUGGUACUGAUGAGCAGCCGAGG
rfam:Pseudomonas sp. MF4836 contig012, whole genome shotgun sequence.